rnacentral:lncRNA from 1 species
CUCGACCUUGGUUUACCAGUUCUAAAAGGACAAAACAACAUUUUCUGUGAAAUAAGCAAGCAUAUGCUUGAACAAUCCUGAAAGGCAAUAUAAAGGUUAGGGAGAAAACAUUAGCAAGUUUAGCAAAAGACUGGUUUAUGCAAUGUAUUGCUUGCAAUUCUAUUCGCAUAAAUACUUCACCAAGUAUGAAUACACUAUCAUCAUCAGAAAAUGGAGAAGUUGGUUGUUGUGUUGCAGAAAAUGAUAGUGAAUGACGGUUGCUUACCCGAGAAAGAUCUGUCCAGGGAUAUUGAGAACGUUUUCAAAAGAAUGUUUCCCUUUUUCCUUGUCUUCAACAGCAGCAAGCAAAGUCAGUAGCAGCUGCAGCAAACUCUAAGUUGCAGAUGAAAGAUUGUUUCUUUGCUUUCAAUGAGAAUGACACUUUCUC